CUGGUUUCGCUUACUAACUUCUAGUUUUCUGACACAGAAAGUUCCAUAUGAGAGGCGUUUCUGAAGAUCAGGAGUAGAGAUCACAAAACGAAAAACUUGGUGUCAGUAACAUGUCUUGAGGAGCUAAUCAGAGUUGCUGUGGGUCAUCGAAUUUGUCAGGAAGGCGACAUACAGGUGUAUUUAGUGGAUGAGUUAUCACUUCGCUGUAUGGUUGCUGGUGCUGAGAAAUGCCUCGAUGACAUUUUCAUUGUUAAAAAUGGACUAUGGAAACAAGAUCAGUCAACAUGUGUGAGUGCACCUUCACCAAUCCCACAA